GGGGGAUCGAACAGGCUACAAGAGCAGCGGCGGCGGCCGCUCCUUCCCGCCGGCCUCAAUUCUCGUCAGCCGUCCCCGCCGGCCACCCUCACCUACGACCUCCGCUGCCGUUGGUUCAUCUGUAGAAAGGUGUUCGGCAAGCAGAAGGUCGAGCCCGUGGUCAAGGACGAGACUCCGGAGGUGGCGAAGCCGGCAGCAGUUGAGUCUCGCUCAAGGGGCCGGUCGUCUUUGGGGAAACAAAUGUAAUAAAUGAUCUUGGGCGUGUUCUACGGUCGCGAAAACUUGGGACUUCUUUUUGGUCUCGUCAGAAACUAGUAUCGUAUUAUAGGAGUAUCUUACUAGCUGUUCGAAGUAGUGGUGUCAUUGUUUCUUACGUUUGUGUUGAAGCCUGUGCUUUUUGGUCUUUGCAUUGAGGCUUGAGCUGUCAUGAUCUUUAGAUUUAAUAUUUCCACUGGCGAGUAUGAAAUGUUAUGAUUCUUAAUAGCAGAAAGGCUUUCUCACGUUGUUGUGGAAAGACAUUUCUUGAAUGCCAUAGAGUUGGGUUGGUAUA